UACGUAGGGUGCAAGCGUUAAUCGGAAUUACUGGGCGUAAAGCGUGCGCAGGCGGUUUUAUAAGACAGAUGUGAAAUCCCCGGGCUCAACCUGGGAACUGCGUUUGUGACUGUAUGACUAGAGUACGGUAGAGAGGGGUGGAAUUCCUGGUGUAGCAGUGAAAUGCGUAGAUAUCAGGAGGAACAUCGAUGGCGAAGGCAGCCCCUUGGACCUGUACUGACGCUCAUGCACGAAAGCGUGGGGAGCAAACAGG
rnacentral:rRNA from 1 species